UAUAUGUAAAACAUCCCGUUUUACGCCCACGCGUUUUAAAACAUUGGUUUUUGGUGAUGAGAACUGAUAUUUCGACCUGGAAUACCACUUAAUUUAAAGCGGGCAAUGCUUGGUUAUUUACUUGAUGUUGGUGCUUUUCCUCUCUCCUUUUGACCUUUGUCUUUUUAUUAUAGCAACGUGUAUGGUGAAAGUUUAUUGUUCCCUACUUUUCUUGUGGGGUUUCACAAGCUUUUUAUGGACUGGACCCUUGUAUUGUCACUGAAGCUUGGUACUCCUUCAGUUUGCUUUUUCAUGCAUAAGUGAAAGUCCACUUUUCCUAGCUUUUCUGGCGAAGAUUUACUAUAUAUGUUGGUUUGGUUCCCGUAUUUUUUCUCUGAAUAUGACUAAGUCAGGAUCCUUUUCAUGUACUGGACCUCAGCAGUUUGCUUGCACAGGACAAUGGUCCAGCAGAAUCUGUAUCUGUUUGCAGGACUAUUCGGGGAGUCCUGGAAAAAGUAGCUCUGACUCGUGGACUUGACUGUAUUAGAUUACUUUUGUUGUUACCUUUAGGGGUCGUUUGGUAUAAAGUAUAAGUAAAAAUAAUGCUGGUAUAAAAAUUUAAUAACAUUUUAUACCUUGUUUGGUUACCAAAUCUGAUAUAAGUUAUCUCGGUAUUAAAAUUAAUACCAGGAUAACUUAUACCUUCUCAGUAGGUGGGAUAAUUAAUGCUGAGAUUAUUAUCCCCCAACAAAAUAGCGAAAUUACCAAAAUAGCCCUAAAGGUCCUCAAACUUUUUUUCUACAUCACUUUUCCCAUUCUUUACCCAACAUUGGUAAAGCAAUGCCUCUACAAAUUUCUCUGCUCUUGGGAAAGAUUUCUUCUCUUCUUUGGAUGCAAAAGCUAUGUUGUAGUGAUUGAAGAACAACUUUGACAUUAUCUUCCAUUUUGCUUUUCUCACAAGGUUGGAGCGUAAGUCAAGCUUUCAAUGAAUGCCUGAGAGUUGUUCUCAGACUAGCUCCAUUGUUACUUGUUAAUCCCAAACCAGUGCUUGAAGAUGAGAUUGAAGAUCAAUGGAGAUGGUUUAAGGGAUGUCUAGGUGCACUGGAUGGUACUUUCAUUCAAAUUAGAGUUCUAUCCGAGUACAAACCAAGAUACAAAACAAGAAAGGGAGAAAUAGCAACUAAUGUACUAGGAGUUUGUGAUAGAAAUUUUAAUUUUACUUAUGUAUUACGUGGUUGGGAAGGAUCAGCUACCGAUGGUCGUGUAUUAUGAGAUGCUAUAGUGCGAACGAAUGGUUUGAAAAUCCCUGAGGGAAAUUAUUAUUUGUGCGAUGGAGGAUAUACAAAUGGAAACAGUUUUCUUUCACCUUAGAGAGGGUAUAGAUAUUGGUUAAGGGAUUGGAAAGGUGACAAUCUGCCACCUCGAAGUCGAGAAGAUCUUUUCAAUAUGAAGCAUGCUAGGGCUCAUGGAAGAUAUGUUAUUAAAGCAUAAGUUUAUUAAAGAGUCGAAGUGGUCUGGGGUUUUAAUAUAGUGAUGGAACCAUAAUUGUUGACGAUCCAAAAUAUUGGGAUGAAUUUAUAAAGAUGGAUCCAAAAGCAAAAAGCAUGAAAACUAAGAAAUGGCCAAUGUUUGAGGAUUGGGAGGAAAUUUUUGGCAAGGAUAGAGCGACUGGAGAGUUCGCAGAGGGGCUGCUAAAUGCUACUGAGGAUAUUCUAAGGAGUCAAGCUUCAGGACUUUCUAAUGACAUGAGCAUAGGAUGGCCUAUUGAUGAUGAUGAAGAAGAAGAAGAUGAUGUUGGUGAUUGACCUAAUAUAGCUACUGGUGAAGCUGAAAAUGCUUAUGCUGGACCUAGUUUUACUGGAGCAUCUGAAAAGGAAGAUGCUAGAGCAUCUGAACAUGAAUGUGCUGGAGCAUCUGAAAAUGAACAUGCAGGAUUCCAAAAAAAUCAUAAACAAGGUGAGCAUGCUAAUAGGUCCUAUUAUAAUUUCAAUGAAAAAGAGAAAAGAAAAAGGGCUGUGGAGGAUUCUAGUGAGACAUUUCUUAAGGGUGUGACAGAAGUUAUGAAAAACUUUAUUGAAAGUCAAGAUAAAAGAAUGGGUGUCUUGAUUGAUAAGAUUGGAGAUUAUGACCAAUCCGAUAUUCGUGGUAAAAUUUAUUGCAUCCUUGAAUCUCCCGCAUUUGAGUUAUACUCUGUACAAAAACGUAUCAAAGCUACAAUGAUUCUCAGUGAAGAUGUCAAAAAGAUAAAAUUAUUUUUACGUAUGGGUGAACUUGAACGCCAAACAAUGAUGUUCAUGAUUGUCAAUGGUAAACUUUGAAGUAUGGUAAAGUUGUGUAUAUGUGGUGGCACUAGUUUGAUAGUU